GUUAUAGGGUCAAGCGAACAAGUGCAUGUGGUGGAUGCCUUGGCGAUCACAGGCGAUGAAGGACGCGGUAGCCUGCGAAAAGCUACGGGGAGCUGGCAAACGAGCUUUGAUCCGUAGAUGUCCGAAUGGGGAAACCCACUCCUUUUGGAGUAUCCAUGGCUGAAUACAUAGGCCAUG
rnacentral:rRNA from 1 species